CCCUUAGACGUUCUGGGCCGCACGCGCGCUACACUGAUCAGUGCAACAAGCAUCCGUCCUUGGCCGACAGGCCCGGGCAAUCUUUGAACGCUGGUCGUGAUGGGGAUAGACUUUUGCAAUUUUUGGUCUUCAACGAGGAAUUCCUAGUAAACGCAAGUCAUCAACUUGCAUUGAUUACGUCCCUGCCCUUUGUACACACCGCCCGUCGCACCUACCGAUUGAAUGGUCCGGUGAAGCCUCCGGAUUGGCGCGCACCUCGGUGCCGCCGAGAAGUUGGCUAAACCUUACCAUUUAGAGGAAGGUGAAGUCGUANCA
rnacentral:rRNA from 1 species